rnacentral:rRNA from 1 species
GACCUGAGUUCAGGUG